rnacentral:lncRNA from 1 species
ACCUCAGCUAGCUCCUCCGCAGAGGCUAGGCUUUUCUUGUUUUCCAACACCGGGAAGAGUUUACGCAGGGUGGAGAUUCUCGCUUCUCCUCCGUAGACCUGGUGGGAAGCUAGGUAGAGACGGGUGUUGUUGGUGAAACCCAACGCUGAAAGAAGGAGACCAAUCUCUUCGGGUGUUAAUGGACAACGCCCUUUGUUUCUUAGCUCUUCGUCUGUGAACUGUGAGUUUAACACCCUUCCUUGCCAGAUCACUUGGCGGUAUUUCGCCAGCGCUAGUUUCUCCGCCUUGCCGCCUCCAAAGUAAAAGAGGAAUGUAAAGUAUUCUCAUACAUUUGCAUUUUCAUCUUGUGUUCAGGCAGCACAGUUUUGGAAUCUAAUAAAGGAAGAAGGAUAUCUCUACGUAUGUGGUGAUGCUAAGGGCAUGGCGAGAGAUGUCCACAGGACUCUACAUACCAUUGUUCAGGAGCAGGUAUGAAUGAACAUUGUGGAACCAGUGGUAGAAUUUGGGUUUUCUCUUUGUUCGUUUGAGUUGAAACACUUGGAAGAUUGGUACCAACUGUAUUUUUAUCUUACAAAAUUUCCAGGAAGGUGUGAGUUCGUCAGAGGCAGAGGCUAUAGUAAAGAAACUGCAAACUGAAGGAAGAUACCUCAGAGAUGUCUGGUGAUGGAUGAUGUUAUAGUUUGGGAUUCUCCCCUUCUUUUUUUAGCUUUCUUGGUAGGAAGGCUGUUUUUACCAUUUAGGUAGUUAUUUGUUUAUUUUCUUCUCUCUCUCUCAUAAACAAUACUUGGAAAAAAGAAUCACAAUAAACUAUAUUAUAAAGGCAAAUGCGAAAUUUCAUAGUCAUAGUUGAAAGUUGGAACUGAAAUUUUCAAAAACCAGUUCAUUCAUGAGACAUUGAUUGAUCAGCUUAUUUCUUGUAUUCUACUUCUAAUUGAGGCAUACUUGGCUAUUCUGAAAGGGUUCGAAUGAAUGUACUACCGCAAGACAUGCAUUAGUGAGAGAAGAUUGUACAUCUAAAAGCUUAAAUCAGCCGAACAAAGUGAAGACUCAAGAGGAUACUAAAAUAUCAUGGAGUUUUUCCACUCUCCAGAUUUAUUGGACUGUAUAGUCUUUCAUCCGUUUAAUACUUUUGUUCCAUACAAAGACACUUUUGACAAAUCUUUAAUCUUUGGCUAUAUAUUAAGCAAGAAAAUGAGACAGAAGGAGGAAAAUAAACAAAUAAAUAUCUAAAUGGUAAAAAACAGCAUUCCUACCAAGAAAUCUUUGAAAAAAAGGUAGAGCAUCCCAAAUUAAACAUCAUCAAUCACCAGACAUCUCUGAGGUACCUUCCUUCAGUUUGAAGUUUCUUAACUAUAGCCUCAGCCUCCGAGGAACUCACACCUUCCUGUAAAUUUAUAAAAAUAUAGUUGGUAUCAGUCUUCCAAGGGAUUCAACCAAAACAAAACAAGAAAAACCCAAAUUCUACUACUUGUUUCACAAUGCUUAUUCAUUACCUGCUCUUGAACAAUGGUAUGUAGAGUCCGGUGGACAUCUCUGGCCAUGCCCUUAGCGUCACCACAUACGUAGAGAUAUCCUUCUUCCUUCAUUAGAUUCCAAACUUGUGCUGCCUGAAUACAAAAUGAAAUGCAAAUGAGAAAUGACAUUAUAAUACAUUUCUCUUUUCCCAAAGCCUGAUGUUGAUGCUUACCUUCUCUACUAUCUUAUGUUGAACAUACUCCUUCUGUGCUCCCUCACGAGAGAACGCCACAAUGAGCUCAGAGAUUACGCCUUUAUCAACAAAGUUAUUGAGUUCAUCCUCGUAAAUAAAGUCCUGCAAGUCAUACAUAUAGCAGCAGGUCAACAUGCUGAUGACACUGCAGAUGGAAAAGGUGCAAACAACUAACAAGUCUCACCAUUCGCCUAUUUCUACACCCAAAGAAGAGCAAAGAUGGACCUAGCUCUACACCAUCUUCUUUCAGUGCCAUCCUCUCUUGCAGAAAUCCUCUAAAAGGAGCCAGGCCAGUCCCAGGUCCCACCAUAACGAUGGGAGUUGGGGGGUUGGACGGUAACUUGAAAUUAGAUGCUCGAAUAAAGAUUGGUGCUCCACUACAUUCACGACUUUUCUCCGCAGGAACUGCAUUCUGAGUUUUACAAAAGCUAUGAAAAACAAAAAGCGAACUUAAAGAUAGUGAAUAAAUGAAGGUGAGGAUUACCUUCAUCCACGUAGAACACAACCCCUUGUGGAUUCUACCAGUAGGAGUGGGACCAUAGACUAGUGCGCAUGUAACAUGAACUCUGUUUGGAGCCAACCUGUAUUAGAAAAAUAAAGAGAGGGACUUUGAAUGACGGAGACUCUAUUUUUCUUAUGCUAACAAUUAGUAUCUCAAAAAUAAAUAAUCACCUCGGCGAGGAUGAGAUGGAAUAGUAACGAGGUUGUAGACGAGGAGCUAUUGCAGCAAAAAACACACCAAGUGGGGGUUUAGCAGAUGGAAAUGCAGCCAUAACCUCUAAAAGACUUCUCUGGCUUGCAACAAUCCAUUGUGAGUAUUCAUCCUAAAGCCAAAAGACCCCCCAAGGAUGUUAACUCAAGAAAACUUUAAAACCAUAGAACAAGAUACACCAGUGACUCAGAACCUUUCCAUCAGGUGAUGUCAAAUGUUUAAGCUUCUUGGCUUCGCUUGGUUCAGUGGCAUAGGCCGCCAAGGCAACUAGCGCAGACUGAAAUCCCAAAAGUAAACAAGUUUAAUUAUUGGGAACAAGCAGAAACCAACACCAUCAGAAAAAUCUGAUCUCAAAGCAAACAGAAGUUAACCUUUCGAGGAGGGUUCAAAAGGUCUGCGUAUUUUGCCAAAGCAGUACCAAGUGUGCAUGGACCAGGGAAGGGAGGUGGCAACGAGCUUCCCAAUGGUGAACCAUCUUCCUUAUCAGCAUGUAUGGAAAACACUAAAUCAAGAGAGUGGCCAAGCAAUUUUGCAGCUUCUUCAACUAUUUCAGCAUGAUUCUCAGCAUAUACUCCUACAUGGUCUCCUGUUUCAUAUCUGCAAAGAGAAGAUGCCAUUAAUUUUUACUAUACACGGGUGUAAUUUUAUAAUCUUCAUGAUGACGAUCUGCUGUUGACUAAAGGGUCAAAAUAUUCAAUCUAUAGCAUAAUCAUACGUGGAAACAGAAAGUCUAUGCAAGCCAAGAUAACUGUGCUGCCUUGUAACUAAUCCAAGGGUAGGAGAUAAUAACUACAGCUCAGAGUUAGAUACUUACGUGAUACUAGUGCAUAUGUCGAACUCGAGAUGAAUACAAGACCGAUCGGAUUCUGGUGUGUGAAGUUCCCUCUGGACAGCAACAUUAACUCUGUUCCGAAUAAAGAGCAAAUGUUAAUACGCAACCAAAAGUGUAGAACAUUGAUCCAGUAUAUUAUAUUACACGGAUCUUCAUAUACCUGCGAGGAUGAUGAAUGUCAAUAGCAGAAUUUCCGUUGGCAACACUCGAGUCCACUGAUUUCUCAGAUAUAAAACUAGGAUCAUGAAUCAUCACCCGAUACUCAGGAAUAGCAGCUGUAUAUGGAGUUGCCACACUUGUGUCAUCCUCGUCUCUGAGGAGCUUGUCUAGCUCAGGCCAUAGCGAUUCUUUCCUGCAAAAAAACGAAUGAAUUGUACAGCGUAGAGGUCAAAUAAUCUCUCACUGCAAACACAUUUACUCAAGCAAACUCUGAAGCUUCCCUUUUUACAGUAAUGGGGUAGAAGACUAGAGAAAGUCUUCCAAAGUAGCAAACGUAAGACAAAGAAACAGAAACAAACCAGGCAUUAAAGUCAUCCUCAAUGCUCUGAUCAUCAUCUCCUAGACCAACUUCAAUAAGACGCUUUGCACCUGCAUUGAAUAUGACGACAACAAUUACGUUUCCCCUCAUGCACCAAAGAGACGGAAAAAAAGAGAAAACAUUCAGUAUCAUUAUCAUCAUAGGUAAACAUCACAGUAAUAUGUCCUUCAGUGUCUUUUCAAUAUCUAGCAUUAGAUAAGAGUUGCAAAACUAUGUAAACAUACACAUGUACCUUUCUUAGAGAGCUCUUCAUCAAGAACUAUCCCAAUCUGUUCCAAGAAAUCAUUUUAUUAUUAGUGAAGGCCCGAAGAAAAUCGUUAAUAAGCUAGAAGCAGGCACAUCUUUUUAACCACGGUACCUUAUUAAAAUGUUCAUAUUGGCGAUUACCAAGUGCAAACACACCAUAUGUUAGUUGCUGAAGCCUUAUAUCCCCUUCAGUUCCCUGGAGACAUGAAACACAGAGUAGUUAAUUUGUUGAAGCCUAACAAAUCAGAGGAGAAUAAAACAUUUGAUUUGAUUGCAUUGAGGCUACAAACCUCUGUAAACCAUUUGUAAAAUCUAGCAGCAUUGUCAGUGGGCUCCCCAUCUCCAUAACUAAACAAGUUACCAAAUAAAUAAAUCCAGCAAACACUUGAAGUGCAUAUAGCAAAAGAUAUCAUCAUCAGAUUGGAAUAUGUCUUACGUAGCAACACAAAAGAAUGACAAAGUCUCCUUCUUCAACUUCUCUUCAUAUUGAUCGUCAUCAGCAGCAUAGUCAUCCUAAUCAAAACCAUAAAACAGCAAAGUAAGAAAGUCAAAUCCAAGUGAUAGCAGUCUCGCAUGAAGUGAAUAGAAUAAUAAUGUAAGUAAAUCAUACCAAGUCAAUGACUUUGACUGCAGCUUUUUCAUAUCUCGCUUUGAUUUCUUCUGCUAAUGCCUAUGAAACAGAAAAUGAAAAUGUUCUCAUAAAGACCAAACCUUUGAAUCACAAUAACGGAUCAAAUAGAGCAAUUGUGACAAGUUCUAGUUAAACCCUAAGCCACAUCCAACAUCAAGAGCUACUAAUAAGUCAACAGAAUCAUAAAAAAUCAACACUUUUUUAGCAAAUAGUUACACAAUACCUUCGCAAAUCCUUCAGCGGUUCCAGUCUGAGUACCAAAGAAGAUAGAGACUCUCUCCUUGCCAGAUCCCAAAUCCACAUCCUCCUCGUCCUCGUCCUUAGCCAUCAGAGACUUUGGGAUCACCAAAGGCUUCAGCUCCUGGCUCUGAUCCGACGUCGUUUUCUUCCAUACCAACACCACGAACCCAACUACAAGUGCCAAAGACGUGGUUGCAAUCACGAGAACAACGUCGUCAGACACCGAGUCGCCGAGAAAGGCUCCCAAGAUUGACUUGACCUCCUUAAACACACCGGAAGCAUACAGAGCAGAACUCAUCUUCUUCUUCUUCGUCUGACUUUGAGAAAGAUUGGAUCUUUUCUCUCUCUCCAAAGGACGGAAGACUCGGGAGAGAUCGAAGAGGGAGACGGUAGGAGAAGGAAGACAGAUAAUUGAGUUUACAGGUUGAGAGUUGAAUCUGAGUGGGUCCUUGUCUUUUCCUUACGUUUUAUGACUUUGAAUCUCCCACUUUUGUUUUUCUUUUUCUUCUUCUUUAUUACAUUGUCAACAAAGUAACAUCGAAAACUUUUAGUUACAUCGAUUCCAUCUUUAUGUAAUUUAAAAAGAUAUAUUUUUCCAUAAAAGACCACCUUCGUUAUAAAGUUGAAUGCGUAUCAAGAUCGGUUUAUAUGGCAACAAAUUGAUCCUUUUUUUUUUUUUUUUUUGUAACAAACAACAAAUCGAUCUUAAUCGAAAUAAUUUUUUAGAAUCUAAUUUAUACGAUUCAUAUCGACUUAAACCAUGUUAAAUCAGUUUAAUGGUUAAAUUUAAUUUAAAGUAAUCUAGUUUAGUUUAAAUCUGUUAAACUAGAGAAUAAUGUUAGUAUAAAAUUUAUCUAAUUUUUUGUUUUAUAUUUUUACUAACGCAUAGGCUUAUGACUGGUUACCAAAUGCAGCAGCGAUUAAAUAAUAAAUUAACAAUAUUUACAUUUUAUAUAAUUAUAAAAAUAUCAAAAAUCAUAAUAUGGUAAUAAAUAUAAAAAUAUUAUUUAGAAAUUUAUAGUUUUAAAUUUUUUUAAAUUAUAGAAAAUAUUUUUAUUUUUAAAAUUUAUUAAAAUAUAAUAGAUAUAUUUUAUUAUUUUUAUAAUUUCAAUUUAAAAUUUUUAUUGAAUAUUUUUAUUUUUAUUUAUAUUGUUUUAAAAAAAAAUUAUCAUCAAGCAACCGCAGACGCUAGUUGGAAUCAGCUUUUGAAUUUUUAAAGUUUAGAACGGUUUGAAUGAUUGUUGCAAAACGCCAACAACCGCAAAAGCUGUCUUUUUUGUGAGUGGUGGCGGGGAAACCAAUGAUACCCUUAGACUUGAAUAAUUGGCUUGGCAGCUAGUUUUGUAGUCCCCUAGAAAGCGUCUAGAACAAUGAUAAAAAUUAUAUGGAACAGAAAAAGUUAACAGCUUAAGCUGCUUUGCACAUACAAUCAGGAGCUGGAUAAGUGUAAAUAGACUGUUUCUGCUUCCGCAAACGAAGCUGGCCUUGCCUGUUCUUGUGCCCAUUCACAACUGCUCCUUCAAACUCAGACCACCCUAAGCUCUUGUUCACCAAAACCUGUCCCAACAGUAUCAUAUUCGGGUUUAUGGUCUUCAAGUUCAAGUAAGCUCUAUGCGCCAGCAAUGCGUUGUGCAUAUUCCCUGGAGAUGCAGAGAUGAAAAUAUCACUCUUCAUGCUCACGUAGUAAUCCACUGCAGCCAUCAAAGAAGCUUUCCCUUCUACCUCAGCUAGCUCCUCCGCAGAGGCUAGGCUUUUCUUGUUUUCCAACACCGGGAAGAGUUUACGCAGGGUGGAGAUUCUCGCUUCUCCUCCGUAGACCUGGUGGGAAGCUAGGUAGAGACGGGUGUUGUUGGUGAAACCCAACGCUGAAAGAAGGAGACCAAUCUCUUCGGGUGUUAAUGGACAACGCCCUUUGUUUCUUAGCUCUUCGUCUGUGAACUGUGAGUU